AGAGUUUGAUCCUGGCUCAGGAUAAACGCUGGCGGCGCACAUAAGACAUGCAAGUCGAACGAACUUAACCAUUAGUUUACUAUUGGAGCGGUUAGUGGCGGACUGGUGAGUAACACGUAAGCAACCUGCCUAUCAGAGGGGAACAACAGUUAGAAAUGACUGCUAAUACCGCAUAUGCCUUGAGUAUCACAUGGUACAAAAGGGAAAGGAGCAAUCCGCUGAUAGAUGGGCUUGCGUCUGAUUAGAUAGUUGGUGAGGUAACGGCCCACCAAGUCGACGAUCAGUAGCCGGACUGAGAGGUUGAACGGCCACAUUGGGACUGAGAUACGGCCCAGACUCCUACGGGAGGCAGCAGUGGGGAAUAUUGGGCAAUGGGCGCAAGCCUGACCCAGCAACGCCGCGUGAAGGAAGAAGGCUUUCGGGUUGUAAACUUCUUUUAAGAGGGAAGAGCAGAAGACGGUACCUCUAGAAUAAGCCACGGCUAACUACGUGCCAGCAGCCGCGGUAAUACGUAGGUGGCAAGCGUUGUCCGGAAUUAUUGGGCGUAAAGCGCGCGCAGGCGGCUUCUUAAGUCCAUCUUAAAAGUGCGGGGCUUAACCCCGUGAUGGGAUGGAAACUGAGAGGCUGGAGUAUCGGAGAGGAAAGUGGAAUUCCUAGUGUAGCGGUGAAAUGCGUAGAGAUUAGGAAGAACACCGGUGGCGAAGGCGACUUUCUGGACGACAACUGACGCUGAGGCGCGAAAGCGUGGGGAGCAAACAGGAUUAGAUACCCUGGUAGUCCACGCCGUAAACG
rnacentral:rRNA from 1 species